UACGAAGGGUGCAAGCGUUACUCGGAAUUACUGGGCGUAAAGCGUGCGUAGGUGGUUUGUUAAGUCUGUUGUGAAAGCCCCGGGCUCAACCUGGGAAUGGCAAUGGAUACUGGCAAGCUAGAGUGCGGUAGAGGGUAGUGGAAUUCCCGGUGUAGCGGUGAAAUGCGUAGAGAUCGGGAGGAACACCAGUGGCGAAGGCGGCAUACCUGGACCAGC
rnacentral:rRNA from 1 species